AUUUCUGGGUGAUUGAUAUUGACAAUAACAUCCGAGGAAGAAACAAAGAUCUGGUUCAUUAAAGUCGAUUAGGGUUACAAAAUGGCCGGCGAAUCUGCCAUGUUCAAGUUCCUAAGGCCAAGGCUUCGUCCUCAACCGGCAGACAUCCAGGCCGCCGCCUUAUGGGGUGUCGCUGCCACCACCACCGCAAUUUGGCUCGUCCAACCUUUCGAUUGGCUGAAAAAGACCUUUUUGGAGAAGCCAACUGAAGAACAGUAGGGAUAGAAACAUGGUGAAGCUUUCUGAUUUCGUCUGUGAGGUUUUUUAUGAGAAAAAAAAUGAAAACAAUUUGUUUGAAUAAUGUACUCAUCUCCUUUUGUUGAGGUCUUUCUGUUAGAAAUUGCUGGGAACAUUUUGUGUUCAUGAGAAUUUUCACUUUAUUCAAAGAGUGGAAGUGUAAUUUUUUUA